rnacentral:sRNA from 1 species
UCAAACCAACGUUUGGGGCUCCGGCCUCU